ensembl:lncRNA
GGGGAACGCAAAAAUAAUGUGCUUUUAGCUCAACAAUCUGUUAUUUUUUUGGUUUUCUCUAAAGAAAACUUAGAGUGAAGCAGAAAUUAACGUCCAUACAGGCUGCACAUGACUGAACUGAUUGGUUUCGAUGGCCUUUUAACAGUCUCAAGAUCAUGGAGGAGAUUCCAGGAGAUGGGCCAUUACACGAGGAGAGCUGGACAGGGCUGUAGAAAUCCCAUCCAGCUACAUCCACCCAGCUACAUUACUGGUAUUUGAUUUCCAUUGACCGUUUUUACAUCAUUUUGUUCUCAAUGAAUUACAUAAUGUACAGUAAAGAUUUUGAUCUUAACAAGUUUUUUCAAUUGCUAACACACUAUAAUGACAUACACAGCACAAUUAUGUAAACGGGCACACAGAGAGCAUAAGACACAACAGUCUGACAUAAAGUCACAUGUUUGCCAUUUCAAAACACUGCCAUUCAAAAUGACACUACAUGUGCCACCUCAGUGGUUAACUGUUACCACUUCAGUCAGGCAGUAAGCACUAUGAACAGACCACAGGUGAGCACUUUUUUUACAACAAUGGAAGACGUUGCAGAGAGAGGAACAGGAAGAGGGAGAGAAGGAGAAGAGGAGGAAGAGGGAGAGGUAUAUAUGUUGCACUGACUUGUUUGGUGAAAAAAAAAUUUUCAACAGCAUGUUUGUGUAUCUGCUAAUAUUUCUGUACAUGUGAACAAUCUGAAGAAUUUUCUACAAUUUGAAUUAUUUUAGUAUUAUGGCAAAUCAUACUAAAGAUGAGAGUGCUUUUCAUUAUGCCCAACAGUGUGUAGUUGGUUAGACAAAAAUCUGGUAAUAUGAAUAGAAGUGUGUGCCAUUUCAUGCAUGAUUUUGAUAUUGUCAUAUGUAGUUUUGGUUGCAGUGCUUCAUUUUGCAGGAUAUAUGAGGUAUUUUGCAGUUUGUGAAUUGUGUUUUAGCAAUUGGAAAAAACAGCAAGCGUGUGUAUGUGCAUCUGCAAGCAUGUGUGUGCGUGUGCGUGUGCGUGUGUGUGUGCGUGUGAAUGUGCUUCUGCAAGCGUGUGUGUGUGUGUGUGUGUGUGUGUGUAUGUGCAUCUGCAAGCGUUUGUGUGUGUGUUGAGGCAGAUAUGAAUCCUGGGUGGGCCGUUCAGUAGACAGACAGGAGUACAGCGGGGCGGUGGUAGUGGGGGUUAAUUCUGUGUGAGUGAGUGUAGAGAGAGAAGCCUGUCAGUCAGGAGGACACACCAGAGACGGGACCUGCUCUGCCAAGGGCUGACCCCGGCCCUCCCUGCCUGUAUGGCUGGUCGACCUGGCAGGUUGCCGUAGAGCGUGUGAAGCCCGGUCCUUUGUGUUAAGCCUGGGUUCUUGGUGCUAAGCCCGGGUUCAACUUCGUUUCCAACUCCACAUUCAUACAUGGACCUCUGGGCCUACAGUGCUUCUCUGGGUCCAAUCCACUGGUACCUACAAAUACCCCAACGGGGUGUAGAACAUUCCAGUCUCAGGCAGACUCAGGCGUUGUCAUGCGGACGUUCAGUUUGUUUCUAUCUGAAACUGCACAAGGCCGACUGAAAGUGGUUCUAAAAAUGUUUCCCCCUCAAUGCAUUUUCUGUGAGGCAGAAAAAGAGCUGUGUAAUGUGAGAAAUGCGUACCCUCCAAUUCUAGCAACGACUCCAAUGAUCACGGAUAAAUCCAGGCACAUGGUUGGAGGAGGGGGCUCUGUGGCUGUGGGUCGGGGGGGCGGGGACGCCCCCGUAGAGGGGGAUUUUGGGCUGAGGGAAGGUGUCUCACAGGGUUGAAUGGGUCAAGGCCACUGAUGCCUCACGGAGCUUCACAACACCUGACAAGAUAAGCCGGCCACAUCCUGUCUCCACUCCCCCCUGCCUGGGUCCAUCCACCUGAUGGAGCCUGAAGCACAGGCCUAACACAGCUCCUGGGAAGGGGUGAGAGAGGGGUUACGGAAGUUUGGAGAAAAGUGGAAGGGCAAGGGGUGUGUUAAGGGGGAGGCAGGAGGCAAUGGAGGUGCUGGGGGGUGAGUAGUGGUGGUCAGGGUUGAGGCAGGCGAUAAGAGGCGCGAGGAAAGAUGUGUGAAUGAUGGGUAGGAAAGGGAGGAAAGAGGGCUUUCAGCCCAGUGGGGAGUUAGGAGUUAAGGAGGAUACAGGCCUUCUAUGGGGCAAAGGUCAUCCUGCUGCCGGUGGGAUGGUUUUCACUACUUACCUAAAGACUCAAACAGGAAUACUGUGCAUUACAA